AUUGAGAGUCAUGGCGGGCGCCGCACCAGGCUACACCUACACCGGCAACAUAUGCUCCGUCGUGCGGUGUGGCGGCACCGCCCUGUCUCAGUAAGGAAUGGGGGGGAUGGAUCGGAUGUCAUUCUCCUUCACCAUCACAAUAUGUAGCAAUAGUUCACUAGACAAAAUCUGCUCCUCGGACUCAGAUGGCGUGCGCCGGCGGUCUGCACCGCCGUGGUGAGCUCGGCGGCACCACACAGUGUGGUCGAGAGAAAGGAAAAGGCCCCCUGGCUGUCCAAUUGGCUAUGUGCGGCUAAGAUUAGAAGACGCAUACCCCUUCGCGGGGUUUGUUA
rnacentral:lncRNA from 7 species